AGACUAGGGAAGCAACUUACUGGCAAAGGAAAGGACCGAGACGCUACAGGUAAAAGCCAGAAAUCGGGAGACGCCAGUCCAGCAGGACUGCGACUUUAGUACAGGGGAGAGGGAGACGGUGGAUUCGGGUGGAACACUACAUAUAGUAGAAUGUUGGAGGUUUGAACUAUGGUUUGAGCAAUGACAAUGGGUUUGAGAGGCAGAGAAGUAAGUUAAUAGCGGCGCGGCAGUCGUAGAGGUCAUAAUAAGGCAAGAGUGGGAGACUAGGAUAAGGGAGGAGGAUGCUGGGAUCAUAAAUAACUGUGCUGGGCCUGUGGGGGAGUAGGGAGGAGAAAGAACGCCUGUCUGAGACAAGUCAUGCAAUCAAUGCCUUCCUCAUGGAAACAUGGGAACUGCGUAGGACAGCGCAGCAGACAGGCCGGGGCUUACACAUAAAUGUAUAAGCAUUUGAAGUGGUAUUGUGUCUUUGGCUUGUGUGUUUGUUUUUCCUCACAGGAAAUGGGAGAGGCCAAAAUGGACCCGCGGCAGAGACAGUACCUCAGCGUUUAAAAAGGAAAACAGUCCACAGAAGAAGAAGAAGAGGGCAACCAUUGAGCUAGUCUCCUGUAAAGAUAUGUGUCCCUACUCUGUCAUAUUUUCCGCCUUUCUCGGCGCCUCAGCUGUCAUGCAGCCCCCUGACUCGCCACACAGAUUCCAGUCAUGAAGUUUGUGAUGGAGCAUGUGAGCAAGGAUUGAGGGUCACCACAACCAGCCUGAUGGUAUCAACACCAGUCCAUUCUCCCUUAUUUCUACCAAGGAGGCAGGACACCACGUCUCAUGCAAGAUGUGAUGCACCAAUGGCGUGGCAUCAAGGGAAGCGCCUCUUUGUAUCCUUGUCCAGCACUUUAUUGUACACAUGAAGGUGCUCCAGAGGUUCAAGAAGGGAGUGGCACACACACUCUGCUGCAGUCCAAUUGCAGGCUUUUGGAGGUCCAGCAGCACACUGCACUCUGCUUUCAUAAAUGUGUGUGUACAGAGUGCAAGACAGAGAGGGGCAAGGAUGGAGGAUGCUUCAACAUUCACAGCAUCAUUGGUUCAUGCUUUCUUUUUCGUGGAGAGUAGUGCACACAGUUUUUAACCGAAGGAUUAUAUGUCAUCAUUCAUAUUCAUUGAUUUCAUGACUUAACAUUGUGUUGACCUUUGUGCAUCAGAUCACUUCAUUACAUGUAAGUGUAUAUUUAGUUACAAGGAGUAAUGGUUUAUGAUAUUUGUAAUGUAUAAAAAGUGACUUAUAAGAGAUCUUCCAUUAUGAAAAUUUGUUUAAGAGUGUUUGUUUAUUAGCAUGAUUUAGUUUUGUCUGUCUUAACAGUCCAGAUUGUACAGACAUGAACCAUCGUCCAUUGCGGAAUUGCAGUCAACACUGCAAGGUGUGUGUGUGUGUUGUAUUGUAUUGUACAGGCUUCGAGCAGGGCUCAUAGUGUCCUGUCUCCAUGUCUCCAUUUAUCCAAUUUUUCCUUAAGGUUAUGCACACUAUGUGCUGUAACAACU